rnacentral:rRNA from 1 species
GGCGCUGUUUUUGGGCCUAAAGCGUCCGUAGCUGGCCGCACAAGUCCGUCGGGAAAUCCGCCCGCUCAACGGGCGGCCGUCCGGCGGAACCUGUGUGGCUUGGGACCGGGAGGCCUGAGGGGUACGAUCGGGGUAGGAGUGAAAUCCUGUAAUCCCGCUCGGACCGCCGAUGGGGAAACCACCUCAGGAGAACGGAUCCGACAGUGAGGGACGAAAGCCAGGGUCUCGAACC